GAUGAACGCUGGCGGCGUGCCUAAUACAUGCAAGUCGAGCGAACAGACGAGGAGCUUGCUCCUCUGACGUUAGCGGCGGACGGGUGAGUAACACGUGGAUAACCUACCUAUAAGACUAGGAUAACUUCGGGAAACCGGAGCUAAUACCGGAUAAUAUAUUGAACCGCAUGGUUCAAUAGUGAAAGACGGUUUUGCUGUCACUUAUAGAUGGAUCCGCGCCGCAUUAGCUAGUUGGUAAGGUAACGGCUUACCAAGGCAACGAUGCGUAGCCGACCUGAGAGGGUGAUCGGCCACACUGGAACUGAGACACGGUCCAGACUCCUACGGGAGGCAGCAGUAGGGAAUCGUCCGCAAUGGGCGAAAGCCUGACGGAGCAACGCCGCGUGAGUGAUGAAGGUCUUCGGAUCGUAAAACUCUGUUAUUAGGGAAGAACAAAUGUGUAAGUAACUAUGCACGUCUUGACGGUACCUAAUCAGAAAGCCACGGCUAACUACGUG
rnacentral:rRNA from 1 species